GGGUUCCUACGGGACGUAGCAGUGGGGAAUCUUGCGCAAUGGGCGGAAGCCUGACGCAGCGACGCCGCGUGCGGGACGAAGGCCUUCGGGUCGUAAACCGCUUUCAGCAGGGACGAGGCCCUCACGGUGACGGUACCUGCAGAAGAAGCCCCGGCUAACUACGUGCCAGCAGCCGCGGUAAUACGUAGGGGGCGAGCGUUAUCCGGAUUCAUUGUGCGUAAAGCGCGCGUAGGCGGCCUGUUAGGUCGGGGGUCAAAUAC
rnacentral:rRNA from 1 species